GGCAAAGGGGGGAAGGGAAAGGAUUGACCCUCAGGGAUCAUAUUACUCAAGAAGACUGGGGGAAAAUAGCAGGAUUGGAAAAGCUCGAAGAGACUGAGGAAGACAAAUCCAUUGUCGAAUCCUGCAGAGUGAUAACAUCGAGUAGUGGGGGCUGGCUUCCACCCCUGAGAGAGCUUGAUUUACCAGAAAUCCCGCCGAGUCCUAGUGGGCCUAGAUUCCGCGAUAAGUUCCGAGAAAUGGAGGAAAUGAUGCAUUCAAAGUUCGCAGAAUUGCAAGAAAGACAAAAUCCUUGAAAGAAAAACCAAACAAGACCAGAUGUUCCCUAUUGUUAUUGGGAACGAGACUAAAUGUUCGGCCUUAAUGAGAUGGACCUUGAUUCCUCUCCGGCCAGGAAAAGAUGCGGCUCCUCUUUGUUCUACUACCUUCAUCCUCGGGUGAAGCCGGUUGGCUCACCAAACAAGAUAUAUACUGUGAAAUCAUUGGUAACCAUGCCUAACGGUCGGUCAUCUAAGCUAUCGGCCAAGGCAAGUGAGAGCUGUUCAAGAGUUGGGGGCAUAUCUUUAGCUCGAGCAGCAUCCGCUCCCGAAAUGUGAGUUAAGCUUUAAAAAAAGAAGAAGAGCUACGAGUGGAACAACUUCUUCUAUUCCUUGUUGGCCUCCAGCUCCUUCUGUCCCUCAAUCCUCUUCUCUGCCCUUUUUUUACUAUUAUGCGUGGCAUGCCCCCUGUUCGUAUCUUAACAGGGCAACCUUCUCUUGCAAACAAUCCCUUCGUCGCUAACACCGGUAAUGCCCCAUCCCUUUAAUACUACCUUCGAGGAAUUUCUCUCGCGUCCCUGUAGUGAUAAGAGCGCAUUCUCUAACAGCUUUGAAGCCGAGGCAGCCAUCCUCUUGCCAAUCCUAAACAAAAGAAAGAAAAGCCCUACCCGCCUUCAUUGGUUGAGUAAGGGGCAUUUACCUAUCAGUCCUAGUCCUAAGGCGCAAUCGGAGCACUAAGCCCAAUUACAGCUUGACUCCGUAAAUUAGACCUCAUUCUCCUAGUCCUAUUCCUGAUUGUUAUUUCGGAUUCUGUGCCUGGGUGGUAUCUUCUUACUAUUGAUUCAACCUCUUCGGGCAAACGUUGUCACUUCCUUUAUUUGAAAAAAGGGGUCUAGAACUACAGUGAUCUGAUACCUUCUUCCCUUGGUCUGGGUAGGUAGGUUAUGUAGGCUACAACUGUUCAUAGGUUGUUCGAUCGCAAAAGGCCAAAUAAUCGAUUACUAGUAUGCCGGAUAUUGCCAGGAGGCCCUUCCCCCUAUGUUUGACUCAUCCUAGAUGGGUUCACACCUGUUGAUUCCGGUCAAAGAAAAAAGCUUUUUCACGGCAUCCGUCCCAUCACACCAAUCUACGCCAAGAUAAAGAAUGCUGGGUUGCCAGGAACAAACCCUGUGAUUCAAGGUCUUGCCUAGAAUUGCCCUAAGAAAAAUGCACCCCAUUAAUUGAUCCCUCUUUAGGGUAGUAUAAGUACAUCCUCGACUAUAGCA
rnacentral:lncRNA from 1 species